UACGGAAGGCAGCAGUGGGGAAUAUUGCACAAUGGGCGCAAGCCUGAUGCAGCCAUGCCGCGUGUAUGAAGAAGGCCUUCGGGUUGUAAAGUACUUUCAGUCGUGAGGAAGGUGUUAAGGUUAAUAACCUUAGCAAUUGACGUUAGCGACAGAAGAAGCACCGGCUAACUCCGUGCCAGCAGCCGCGGUAAUACGGAGGGUGCGAGCGUUAAUCGGAAUUACUGGGCUAAAGGGCACGCAGGCGGUUAAUUAAGUUGGAUGUGAAAUCCCCGGGCUUAACCUGGGAAUGGCAUUCAAGACUGGUUAGCUAGAGUCUUGUAGAGGGGGUAGAAUUCCAUGUGUAGCGGUGAAAUGCGUAGAGAUGUGGAGGAAUACCGGUGGCGAAGGCGGCCCCUGGGACAAAGACUGACGCUCAUGUGCGAAAGCGUGGGGAGCAAACAGGAUUAGAUACC
rnacentral:rRNA from 1 species